GUAUUGGUGGUUCAGUGGUAGAAUUCUUUCCCUCCACAAGGGAGACCUGGGUUCAAUUCCCAGCCAAUGCA
rnacentral:tRNA from 2 species